UGUGUUUUGGCCCCGCAAUACUUUUCUUCCUUUUCAAUUAUUGAACCCUCUCCCCCCGAGCCCCACCCCUUCUAUAAAUACCAAAUAUUCAUACCAAGAGUUACUCAACACUUUCAUAUUCCAUUUAUAAGACACAUAAGAGAGAGAGAGCAUCAGAUCGAGUUUGAAUUAUGGCAAGCAUCAACGUUCCUGGGAAGAGCUCUUGGCCGGAGCUGGUGGGGAAAAAUGGGGGGGUUGCGGCGACAACAAUAAUCAGUGAGAAUCCAAAAGUGUUUGUGGUGAUGAUCCCCCCCUCUGUCACGGCCAUUACCAGCGACUACGUAAACAAUCGUGUCCGUGUCUUUGUCGAUGACUCAUGCAAUGUCACCACAGUCCCAACUAUUGGGUAAACAAUCAUGUUACUAAAUUGAAUAAUAUGAAUGAGCUCCUCAAUAUGAUAGUUAGAGGAGCCCAUCGCUCUCGAAUGUUAUGAAAUAAAUGUUGUUUAACCUGGAUCUGUCUUAAUCUAGUUAUAAUGUUUUGUUUACA